GUACUCGCUUCGGCGGUACAUAUACUAAAAUUGGAACGAUACAGAGGAGAUUAGCAUGGCCCCUGCACAAGGAUGACACGCAAAAUCGUAAAGUGUUCCAUAUUUUU
rnacentral:snRNA from 1 species